GACGAACGCUGGCGGCGUGCUUAACACAUGCAAGUCGAACGGACAGGCCCUGCUUUUGUGGGGUGCUCGAGUGGCGAACGGGUGAGUAACACGUGAGUAACCUGCCCUUGACUUUGGGAUAACUUCAGGAAACUGGGGCUCAUACCGGAUAGGAGCUCCUGCUGCAUGGUGGGGGUUGGUAAGUUUCGGCGGUUGGGGAUGGACUGGCGGCUUAUCGGCUUGUUGGUGGGGUAGUGGCUUACCAAGGCGUUGACGGGUAGCCGGCCUGAGAGGUGGACCGGCCACAUUGGGACUGAGAUACGGCCCAGACUCCUACGGGAGGCAGCGGUGGGGAAUAUUGCACAAUGGGCGGAAGCCUGAUGCAGCAACGCCGCGUGCGGGAUGACGGCCUUCGGGGUGUAAACCGCUUUCGCCUGUGACGAAGCGUGAGUGACGGUAAUGGGUAAAGAAGCACCGGCUAACUACGUG
rnacentral:rRNA from 1 species